AGGAUGAACGCUGGCGGCGUGCCUAAUACAUGCAAGUCGAGCGGCAGCACGGUCUUCGGACUGGUGGCGAGCGGCGGACGGCUGAGUAACGCGUAGGAACAUGCCCCAAAGUGAGGAAUAACUGCCCGAAAGGGUGGCUAAUGCCGCAUGUGGUCUUCGGACUAAAGCUUUAUGCGCUUUGGGAGUGGCCUGCGUCCGAUUAGCUUGUUGGUGAGGUAAUGGCUCACCAAGGCGACGAUCGGUAGCUGGUCUGAGAGGAUGAUCAGCCAGACUGGAACUGAGAACGGUCCAGACUCCUACGGGAGGCAGCAGUAGGGAAUUUUCCACAAUGGGCGAGAGCCUGAUGGAGCAACGCCGCGUGCAGGAUGAAUGCCUUCGGGUUGUAAACUGCUUUUAUGUGCGAAGAAUUUGACUGUAACACAUGAAUAAGGAUCGGCUAACUACGUG
rnacentral:rRNA from 1 species